rnacentral:tRNA from 1 species
UGUUAAGUGGCUGAAUUAAAGCACUAGACUUUUAAUCUAGAUUAUGAUUUUUUUAAUCCUUAAUGG